rnacentral:rRNA from 1 species
CUGCUAUCGGGAUGGGACUAAGACAUGCUAGUUAAGCGCCUUCCAGCCAUGUGGGAGGUGCAGCGCACAGCUCAGUAACACGUGGCUAACCUGCCCCUGGGACGGGACCAACCCCGGGAAACUGGGGCUAAUCCCCGAUAGGUGAAGAACUCUGGAAUGAGUCUUCGCCCAAAAGGCGUCAGAUCAUGCUUCUGGCGUCGCCCAAGGAUGGGGCCGCGACCGAUCAGGCUGUUGGUGAGGUAAUGGCCCACCAAACCUAUAACCGGUGCGGGCCGUGAGAGCGGGAGCCCGGAGAUGGGCACUGAGACAAGGGCCCAGGUCCUACGGGGCGCAGCAGUCGCGAAACCUUUGCAAUACACGAAAGUGUGACAGGGUCAUCCCGAGUGCCGACCGCUGAGGUUGGCUUUUACCCAGUCUAGAACGCUGGGGGAAUAAGGAGAGGGCAAGUCUGGUGUCAGCCGCCGCGGUAAUACCAGCUCUCCGAGUGGUGUGGACGUUUAUUGGGCCUAAAGCAUCCGUAGCUGGCUGAACAAGUCCCCUGUUAAACCCACCGAUUUAAUCGUUGGUCUGCGGGGGAUACUGUUCGGCUAGGGGACGAGAGAGGCAGACGGUAUUCCCGGGGUAGGGGUGAAAUCCUAUAAUCCCGAGAAGACCACCAGUGGCGAAGGCUGUCUGCUAGAACGCGCCCGACGGUGAGGGAUGAAAGCUGGGGGAGCGAACCGGAUUAGAUACCCGGGUAGUCCCAGCUGUAAACGAUGCAGACUAGGUGUUUGGACGGCCACGUGCCGUUCUAGUGCCGCAGGGAAGCUGUUAAGUCUGCCGCCUGGGGAGUACGAUCGCAAGAUU